rnacentral:rRNA from 1 species
ACGAACGCUGGCGGCGUGCCUAAUACAUGCAAGUAGAACGCUGAAGGAAGGAGCUUGCUCUUUCCGGAUGAGUUGCGAACGGGUGAGUAACGCGUAGGUAACCUGCCUGGUAGCGGGGGAUAACUAUUGGAAACGAUAGCUAAUACCGCAUAAUAUUGAUUAUUGCAUGAUAGUCAAUUAAAAGGUGCAAUUGCAUCACUACCAGAUGGACCUGCGUUGUAUUAGCUAGUUGGUGGGGUAACGGCUCACCAAGGCGACGAUACAUAGCCGACCUGAGAGGGUGAUCGGCCACACUGGGACUGAGACACGGCCCAGACUCCUACGGGAGGCAGCAGUAGGGAAUCUUCGGCAAUGGACGGAAGUCUGACCGAGCAACGCCGCGUGAGUGAAGAAGGUUUUCGGAUCGUAAAGCUCUGUUGUAAGAGAAGAACGAGUGUGAGAGUGGAAAGUUCACACUGUGACGGUAUCUUACCAGAAAGGGACGGCUAACUACGUG